rnacentral:tRNA from 1 species
GCAACAGGUGGCAUAGUGGUUAGAGCUGUCAGCUUUGGGCUCUUAAGUCACAGGUUCAAAUCCUACCUACUGUUGUA